UGCUUAUCCAGAAAGACCGAGGGACAGGGCCCGAAGACGUCUUAGCAACCUUGCUGAUAACCUGGUGCUAAUUCCCUUCUGUAUGCAAUUCAAACGGAUGCAGAGAAGAUAAGCA
rnacentral:ncRNA from 2 species